ACCAGAGCUCGGUGACUGAAUAUAAUUUCUGAUUGUGCACAUUCAUUUGAACAAACAAGACGAAUUACCCGUCAAGUUUUUUAUCCAUCCGUCUCAAAUAACUGUUAAUGGACAGAUUUAACAGAGAACAGCUGAAUUACUCUUUUUUAGGUUUGUUAAAAAGACAUUUUUGUCCAUGUUUUACCACGGCCUAUGUUGAAAAUUAAGAGAAAGUUUUCUAUGAUAUACAGCAUAGUGUGGAUACACAGUUUUUGAAAUGUCUUAACCAAACUCUUAAAUGUUUCUUUGGAAAAUGAAAUGAGAGUGUUUAUCUGUAGCUUUUAUAUUCCGCUGCUCCCUGUGUGAAUAUGCAAAUGAGUCCAACAGCCCCUCUGAUGGUGGGGUAUUGAACUGUUCUUGGUAAGCAGUUUUUUCUCUCUCUCAGCUCUGCUCAGCAGCAAUAUCAGCAGGGGAAAAUAAAGUGAGACGAGGAUGUGGCCCCUUUCACUAAAAAAAAAUGUCCUUUGAUUUUGGUUUUAGCUCCCUUGGGCAGCGUCUGGGUUUGAAAUGGAUUUGGGAUGGACCAAGAGACACCGCCGGCUCACCUGGUAACCGGACAGCUGCUGAUUUGACUGAUCGGGAGCCAGGUGUUUGGAUAUGCCACUGUGCACUCCAGGCUUCGGCGGCACAGUGCAGCUCUGAUACACACUAUCCCUGCCUAAUCAGAUCACUCACACUGCAGUUUUUUCUUUUGACACUCUCCAUUUAUAGCAAAAAAAAAAAAAA